GCUGUUCGUUGGGGGAGCUCCUAACAGGGGCUGAGAGACUCAUCUGCCGACGGCAGAUAGACCCUUUGAACCUGACCCGGGUAAUGCCGGCGUAGGGAAACGACGGUCUGCUAGG
rnacentral:ncRNA from 2 species